rnacentral:rRNA from 1 species
UGGCGAACGGGUGAGUAACACGUGAGUAACCUGCCCUUGACUUUGGGAUAACUUCAGGAAACUGGGGCUGAUACCGGAUAGGAGCUCCUGCUGCAUGGUGGGGGUUGGAAAGUUUCGGCGGUUGGGGAUGGACUCGCGGCUUAUCAGCUUGUUGGUGGGGUAGUGGCUUACCAAGGCUUUGACGGGUAGCCGGCCUGAGAGGGUGACCGGCCACAUUGGGACUGAGAUACGGCCCAU